UACGUAGGGGGCAAGCGUUGUCCGGAAUUAUUGGGCGUAAAGCGCGUGUAGGCGGCCAGAUAAGUCCGCUGUGAAAUCUCGAGGCUCAACUUCGAGCUGUCGGUGGAAACUGUCUGGCUAGAGUCCGGAAGAGGAGAAUGGAAUUCCUGGUGUAGCGGUGAAAUGCGCAGAUAUCAGGAAGAACACCCGUGGCGAAGGCGGUUCUCUGGGACGGUACUGACGCUGGAGACGCGAAAGCGUGGGGAGCGAACAGG
rnacentral:rRNA from 1 species